rnacentral:rRNA from 1 species
AUACGGAGGAUCCGAGCGUUAUCCGGAUUUAUUGGGUUUAAAGGGUGCGCAGGCGGCCAUUUAAGUCAGCGGUUAAAUCGUGGGGCUCAACCCCAUUCUGCCGUUGAUACUGGGUGGCUUGAUUGCGGUCGAGGUUGGCGGAAUUCGUUGUGUAGCGGUGAAAUGCAUAGAUAUGACGAAGAACACCGAUUGCGUAGGCAGCUGACCAGAUCGCAAAUGACGCUCAUGCACGAAAGUGCGGGGAUCGAACAGGAUUAGAUACCCUGGUAGUCCGCACAGUGAACGAUGAAUACUUGGUUUCGGCGAUAUAAUGUCGGAGGCAAAGCGAAAGCGAUAAGUACUCCACCUGGGGAGUACGCCGGCAACGGUGAAACUCAAAUGAAUUGACGGGG